CGUACACUCCUGCGGGAGGCAGCAGUGGGGAAUAUUGGACAAUGGGCGCAAGCCUGAUCCAGCCAUGCCGCGUGAGUGAUGAAGGCCCUAGGGUUGUAAAGCUCUUUCACCGGUGAAGAUAAUGACGGUAACCGGAGAAGAAGCCCCGGCUAACUUCGUGCCAGCAGCCGCGGUAAUACGAAGGGGGCUAGCGUUGUUCGGAUUUACUGGGCGUAAAGCGCACGUAGGCGGACUAUUAAGUCAGGGGUGAAAUCCCGGGGCUCAACCCCGGAACUGCCUUUGAUACUGGUAGUCUUGAGUUCGAGAGAGGUGAGUGGAAUUCCGAGUGUAGAGGUGAAAUUCGUAGAUAUUCGGAGGAACACCAGUGGCGAAGGCGGCUCACUGGCUCGAUACUGACGCUGAGGUGCGAAAGCGUGGGGAGCAAACAGGAUUAGAAACCCGAGUAGUCCCAUGA
rnacentral:rRNA from 1 species